UCCAUUAACCCGCUUCCUAUCAACACGAAUCUACCGCAGCAUUCAGCAGAAAACGCCGUUUUUCCUCUCCCACAACCGCAGCGUUUUCCUUCCUUUCGUUUUUAAUUAACCCCGUCCUCCCUUAAGUCACUCAUUAAUUACACACCGCUCCCCCAUUCUUCGCCGUUCACCCACAAGCCCCGCCCCUCGCCACCAAGCGCUGCGAGCUCAUUGGUCGAAACGCGAGCCCGCCGCCUUCCCAUUGGUCCUCGGGGCAGCGGGAGGCGGAGCCUCUGUGCGCGCGGGGAUGGAGAGGCGGGAAAAGGGGCGGUUCUCACUCCGGUCCGCCCCUCGGGGUAUAUAAGGCAGCUCCGCCCACCGCUCCGCUCAGUGUGGGGGCGGGCGGGGCCUUGAGCGGGGGGUUGCGCGUUGCGUUUUGGCGCUGCGUUCGGAACGCGGCGCCUUUUUCACCUCAAAAUUCUUCAAAAACCUUAAAAAAAAAAAAAUCCUCCCCCUCAAAAAAAAAUUCCCGGCUCGACUCGGCGCUAAAACCGUUCGCUUCGUACUUUUGCUCCUUUUCUGUGCGCGGAGAUGGCGCUUCCCCGCAACGCUUCGGAGCGGAGGAAAGAAAGAAUCAGCAUCAAAACCUUCAAACGACGGGAAGACGAGAAAAACAGGAAGAUUUCAAAGCCCCCAAAAGAAAAAAAAAAAAUCGCGGAGCUCUUCACGACCCUCCCGAAAGCCUCAGGCAGGAGAUGGGUGCUACCGUGUGACAAUUGACAUCCCUCUGGGAACAUUUGAAAGCCCCUUCCUCCAGAGCUGCUUACCUCCAGAAGAGAGUGCUCAGAAGUGCUUACUGGCAGAAGAUCUGGCCUGCGACUAAAUAGCUCCAGCCUGGUAUGGGAAAAUUGGGGAACGGUGUCCUGUGGAAAAACAGGAUGCAGAUGGGCAUCCCUGCUCCCUCUUAUCUGCUGGCGAGGCCCGGAAGGUGGAAACAAAGGAAUUUCUGCUGAGAUCCCAGAGCCAGAAGCUGCUACUCCAAGGAAAGCUGACUCGACCACUUUGGAUUUGAGCUGUCACUCCAAAGACAGCUGACUCGACCACUUUGAAAGCAUUGAAAUCAUCACCAUGGUCGUCGUCGUCGCCAUCAUUGUUGUCAACAGAACAACAACACCUGAUGACCCACCACUGCUGAAGAUCAAAGGCUGAACUACGAACCACCAUGGUGGUGACUGUGUCCCUCUUGCUUCCUAUAAAGACUCCUUGCUUCUUCUUUCUUACCUUUUCUAUCGCCCUCCUUCCCUUCCCCAUUACCCUAAUGCAUAAUAGCAUCCGUCCUCCCCUUCCCCAUCUCCCUAAUUAAGAUCUGUAAUAAACUGGUCGGACCAACAUUUGAACCGUUGUUU
rnacentral:lncRNA from 1 species